UCUGUUGUAGUCUAGUUGGUUAAGAUACUUGGCUCUCACUUGAGAGACCUGGGUUUAAUUCCCAGCAACGGAA
rnacentral:tRNA from 1 species